GCGACGUGCCAACACUACUAAACGUCUGCAGAUUAGAAGGUCGACCAACUCGGGAUUACGGUCCUCUUGUGCCAACCAACUAUUUCGCUUGGAUCCCGCUCCAAAAUGGUUUUUGUAUCACUUGCAUGGAAAAGCUCAAUGGCAGAGCAGCUGAUUGUUUGUACCGGACAUGAGAAAAUAGAAAUAAAUAAUUGUCAGUAUGUAAAGAACUUUUUACCGGAGAUUUAUUAGAUCUUGUUUUGUGUUUCUAGACAGGAAGAAGUACUGGACGAAGGUAGAGGAAGAAAGACACCAAAAGAAAGUGGCCAUCAAAGCUUCGGAAACGACAGCAGCCAGAUAAAAGUGACGAAAGCGAGAGCGUCUGGACUCAAUCAGCGUCUGCUCGUCACAUGUUGUUAAAUCCAAAGCGGCAGCGGGGGCUCGUUCCAGCAGUGACUUCGCCGCUGCUCAUUUUGAUGGAGAAAACCAGGAAGUUCUCACACACAAAUAAAGGAUUUCCACGCAUGUCAGCCAAGAAAAACAAAUUAUUUCCCCAUUUGGAAUUUCAAACAAAUGUCCCGCUGAUGGCUCCCAUCCCAAACUUCUGUAUAAUGACGAACAAGCCCAGAAAAGAUUCCACAUAGGUAAAACAUUCUUUUUCUUCUCCCCCACUCGCUUCAAGCCCGUCCCUGGACGUGUGUACACAUUGAGGAUUUAAUAGCCGUUUAGAGAGCUUGUGAGAAAGUCAAACACUUUUUCCCACAAUCUGAAAGAAGAUUCAUCAUUCGCACGUGUUUACUUUAGUCAAAAAAGCCCCAGACGCGAUGACCGUGUGUGUGUGCGUGUGUGUCUGUGUGUGUGUGUGUGUGGGCAAGAAAAAAAAGAAUACAAAAGUUUAACCAUUUUGUCUGUUGUCUCACCGUGCAAGAUGACACAUUUAUUGUUGCAGGAAGUUAAAAACAAAAUGAGCGAACUUGUUGUAUUGCAUAUAUACAGGGUGUGCACACUUAUUCAACUUCAUGACCGCACUUAUUUUGACUUCGCCAGUUGGAAAAAAAAUAUUUUUGAAUUUAAUGGUACAGGUAGGUCGCAAUAAUGGAGAAAAAAAAAGUUUUGGAGUGAUUUAUCUUGAUUUCAUUAUUUUACAUUUGAACAAGGAAGUGUGUGCAGACUUUUUAUAACCACUGUUUUAAUGUUAUAGGAAUUCUUUUUUUAUGAAUGUGAUGUUUAUGAAAGAGAGCCUGUUAAUAGUGCUUAGGAAAAGGAGGAGUUUUUUCCCCAAAUAGAUGAUGUCACUUUUCCAGCAUCAACAAAGUAUUAUCUUAUCUAUACUCUUGCGUGUGUGUGUGUGUGUGUGU